CGGAAGAUUCCCUUACUCCUACGGGAGGCAGCAGUAGGGAAUCUUCCGCAAUGGACGCAAGUCUGACGGAGCAACGCCGCGUGAGUGAUGAAGGUUUUCGGAUCGUAAAGCUCUGUUGCCAGGGAAGAACGCUAUGGAGAGUAACUGUUCCAUAGGUGACGGUACC
rnacentral:rRNA from 1 species